GAUGAACGCUGGCGGCGUGCCUAAUACAUGCAAGUCGAGCGAACGGACGAGAAGCUUGCUUCUCUGAUGUUAGCGGCGGACGGGUGAGUAACACGUGGAUAACCUACCUAUAAGACUGGGAUAACUUCGGGAAACCGGAGCUAAUACCGGAUGAUAUUUUGAACCGCAUGGUUCAAAAGUGAAAGACGGUCUUGCUGUCACUUAUAGAUGGAUCCGCGCUGCAUUAGCUAGUUGGUAAGGUAACGGCUUACCAAGGCAACGAUGCAUAGCCGACCUGAGAGGGUGGUCGGCCACACUGGAACUGAGACACGGUCCAGACUCCUACGGGAGGCAGCAGUAGGGAAUCUUCCGCAAUGGGCGAAAGCCUGACGGAGCAACGCCGAGUGAGUGAUGAAGGUCUUCGGAUCGUAAAACUCUGUUAUUAGGGAAGAACAUAUGUGUAAGUAACUGUGCACAUCUUGACGGUACCUAAUCAGAAAGCCACGGCUAACUACGUG
rnacentral:rRNA from 1 species